AAAGUUUGCACCGACCCCGAUCCGGCAGCACCGCGGAGACCAGCGGUCGCCGGCGCCCGACCCGAGCGCGCCCGGAGGACGGCGGGGAGCCGAGCCGAGCCCCGAGCAGCGCCGCGCGGACUCUGAGGUUCAGAGGGGCAGCUUCAGGGGAGGACACCCCACUGGCCAGGACUCCCCAGGCUCUGCUGCUCUGCCACUCAGCUGCCCUCGGAGGAGCGUGCACACCCACCAGGACUGCAUUGCCCCAGCUGUGCAGCCCCUGUCAGAUGCGGAAGGCAGCUAGCUGCCCAGAGGCAUGCCCCCCUGCCAGCCACGCCGACCCCUGCUGCUGUUGCUGCUGCUGCUGCUGGCCUGCCAGCCACAGGCCCCCUCUGCUCAGGUGAUGGACUUCCUGUUUGAGAAGUGGAAGCUCUACGGCGACCAGUGUCACCACAACCUGAGCCUGCUGCCCCCUCCCACGGGUGAGCCCCCACCCAGAGCCUUUCAGCCUGUGCCUGGCCUCAGCACUUCCUGAGUUCUCCUCAUGGGAAGGUUCCUGGGUACUUAUGCAGCCCUUGAGGACCUCGCCAAGGGGCCCUGUCACUCCUCAGGCCCCCACCCCCAUGGGCAGGUGAGGUAACGAGGUAACUGAGCCACACAGCUGGGGACUUGCCCCAGGCCGCAGAGCCAGGAAGUAACAGAACGGUGGAUUGCCCCAGAACCGGCUGCUGCUGCUGCCCCCGGCCCAGACGGGUAAAACCACCUACAGCCCCAUGGAGUUUUCAGUGGGUAGACAGUGCCAGGGCAUGGAAGGCGGGACCCAGGGGCCUGGGAGGGCUCAGGUGGAGAGUGUAUAUCAUGGCCUGGACACUUGGGGUGCAGGGAGAGGCUAGGGCUGGAGGACUUACCCGGGAGGCGGUGCCUUGGUUCAGACGAGGGAGGCAGCCUCCACCGGGCAGAGGG
rnacentral:sRNA from 1 species